rnacentral:rRNA from 1 species
GACGAACGCUGGCGGCGUGCUUAACACAUGCAAGUCGAACGGAAAGGCCCUGCUUUUGUGGGGUGCUCGAGUGGCGAACGGGUGAGUAACACGUGAGUAACCUGCCCUUGACUUUGGGUUAACUUCAGGAAACUGGGGCUAAUACCGGAUAGGACCUCCUGCUGCAUGGUGGGGGUUGGAAAGUUUCGGCGGUUGGGGAUGGACUCGCGGCUUAUCAGCUUGUUGGUGGGGUAGUGGCUUACCAAGGCUUUGACGGGUAGCCGGCCUGAGAGGGUGACCGGCCACAUUGGGACUGAGGUACGGCCCAGAAUCCUACGGGAGGCAGCAGUGGGGAAUAGUGCAAGAUGGGCGGAAGCCUGAUGCAGCAACGCCGCGUGCGGGAUGACGGCCUUCGGGUUGUAAACCGCUUUCGCCUGUGACGAAGCGUGAGUGACGGUAAUGGGUAAAGAAGCACCGGCUAACUACGUG